rnacentral:rRNA from 1 species
UACGUAGGGGGCUAGCGUUGUCCGGAAUCAUUGGGCGUAAAGAGCGUGUAGGCGGCCCGGUAAGUCCGCUGUGAAAGUCGGGGGCUCAACCCUCGAGAUGUCGGCGGAAACCAUCUGGCUAGAGUCCGGAAGAGGAAAGUGGAAUUCCAGGUGUAGCGGUGAAAUGCGUAGAUAUCUGGAGGAACACCAGUGGCGAAAAGCGCGUGACUGGGCCACAACUGACGCUGAGGAACGAAAGCCAGGGUAGCGAAAAGG